rnacentral:rRNA from 1 species
AACGAACGCUGGCGGCAGGCCUAACACAUGCAAGUCGAGCGAACCGCAAGGUUAGCGGCGGACGGGUUAGUAACGCGUGGGAACGUGCCCAAAGGUACGGAAUAGCCUCGGGAAACUGAGAGUAAUACCGUAUGUGCCCGAAAGGGGAAAGAUUUACCGCCUUUGGAUCGGCCCGGGUUGGAUUAGGUAGUUGGUGGGGUAAUGGCCUACCAAGCCGACGAUCCAUAGCUGGUUUGAGAGGAUGAUCAGCAACACUGGGACUGAGACACGGCCCAGACUCCUGCGGGAGGCAGCAGUGGGGAAUCUUAGACAAUGGGGGAAACCCUGAUCUAGCCAUGCCGCGUGAGCGAUGAAGGCCUUAGGGUUGUAAAGCUCUUUCACCGGNGAAGAUAAUGACGGUACCCGGAGAAGAAGCCCCGGCUAACUCCGUGCCAGCCGCCGCUGUAAUA